rnacentral:rRNA from 1 species
AUUGAACGCUGGCGGCAUGCCUUACACAUGCAAGUCGAACGGUAACAGGUCUUCGGAUGCUGACGAGUGGCGAACGGGUGCGUAAUACUUCCGAACGUGCCCAGACGCUGUGGAUCACGAGUCGCAAGCUUUGCUAAUACCUCAUACGAUCUAAGGUUUAGAGCCGGGGACUGCAAGGGUUUGUGCGUUUGUAGCUGCCGAUGGUAGAUUAGGUAGUUGGUGGGAUAAAAGCUUACCAAGCCGACGAUUUCUAGCUGGUCUGAGAGGACGACCAGCCACACUGGAACUGAGACACGGCCCAGACUCCUACGGGAGGCAGCAGUGGGGAAUUUUGGACAAUGGGCGAAAGCCUGAUGGAGCAACGCCGCGUGCAGGAUGAAGGCCUUCGGAUUGUAAACUGCUUUUAUAAGGAAAGAACAGGCGCGGGCGAAUACGUGGGGAACAUGACGGUACCGAAAGAGUAAGCAACGGCUAACUACGUG